rnacentral:rRNA from 1 species
AAUAGGCUAAUUAAGAGCGUAAGGGGAAUACCUUGGCUCUCAGAGGCGAUGAAGGACGUGAUAAGCUGCGAUAAGUUACGGGGAAUGGCACAAACAUUUUGAUCCGUAAAUUUCCGAAUGGGGCAACCCGGCAUAUUGAAGAUAUGUCACACUGUAAAGUGAGCAAACCUGGUGAACUGAAACAUCUAAGUAACCAGAGGAAUAGAAAACAAAAGUGAUUCCGCUAGUAGUGGCGAGCGAACGCGGAAUAGCCCAAACCUAAAUUGUUACGGCAAUUU